UACGUAGGGAGCAAGCGUUGUCCGGAAUCAUUGGGCAUAAAGCGCGCGUAGGUGGCCACAUAAGUCCGUUGUGAAAGUCAAAGGCUCAACCUUUGAAAGCCGAUGGAUACUGUGUGGCUAGAGUACGGAAGAGGCGAGUGGAAUUCCUGGUGUAGCGGUGGAAUGCGCAGAUAUCAGGAGGAACACCAAUAGCGAAGGCAGCUCGCUGGGACGUUACUGACACUGAGGCGCGAAAGCGUGGGGAGCGAACAGG
rnacentral:rRNA from 1 species